UUCCCUCGGAUGUGGAUGGGCGGGGCCUGUCGGGCUGUCCACUUCGGUUUUAACUCUGUGUGGUGGAGGGAAGACACAGACUGGCUGCCGCUCCUCUGCUCUCCUCUCUCUAAAGUCAACAUCCCUAACUCUGAGAACCGCAGUGCCAAAAUCAUGGAGGAAAUGGACUUUGAGCGGCGUCGGGAGCUGAGGAGGCAGAAGCGGGAGGAGAUGCGAUUGGAGGCAGAAAGGAUGGCUAGGAUUGAUGAUGAUGAGGAAGAAGCGGCCCGCGAGAGGAGGCGCAGGGCACGCCAGGAGAGACUGAAGACCAGGGAGGGCGAGGAGCCUAGCGGACAGCCAGACAGUCUGGUCGUGACCAACAGCCACAGUGUGACAGAGACGGUGUCUGUGACCAGCUCUUGCGGAGGAAGCGUGGACGACGAGGACCAAGCCCUGCUGGACCGCAUGGCCAAACGUGAGGAGAGGAGGCAGAGACGCAUGAUGGAGGCGAUGGAGAGACAGAGACAGGUGGACCCCACGGUGACAGAGGACAACAACACGGAGAAAAACAACGAGGAAGAGGAGAGGCCAUCAUGGCGCCGGGGUCGUUACCGGGACAACGAGGAGGAGGAGGAGAAGACAUACAGCCCGAGAAGGGAGGAGAAGCAGCAAGUGGAAGAGCCGGGAGAAGAGGAAGUGGCUGCUCCUGAGGUAGAGGAAGAAGUGGAGGAAGACGUGGAUGAAGAGGAGGAGCAAAAGGAAGAUGUGGUGGAGGAGAAACCGAAAAGAUCCUACAUGAGGGAAGAGGAAUCGACUGAUGAGCCUUCUGGCCAAUCAGAGAUUACCGAGAGAGACGGAGUGAGGGAGGAGUGGGAGGAGCAGAGGAAGCAGAACGGAGGGCUGCAUGACGAGGAGGCUCCCAAACAACACAGGAAACCUGAGAGGACUCUCAGUCGGGGCAGCCUGCGCUCCCCCGAGGUGUCUGCAGGUGAUGACCAGGACGACGACGCCCGGCUGGAAGCAGAGCGCAAGCUGGAGGAGCUGAAGCGUCGCCGCGAUGAUGCCGAGACCGAGGAGUUUGAGAGGAUGAGACAGAAGCAGCAGGAGGCUGAGGCCGAGCUGGAGGAGCUGAAGAAGAAGAGGGAGGAAAGGAGGAAGGUGCUGGAGGAGGAGGAGAAGCAGAAGAAGCAGGAGGAGGAGGAGAAGAAAGCCAGAGAGGAGGAGGAGAAGAGGAAGAUGAAAGAGGAGAUUGAAAGGAGGCGAGCAGAGGCUGCUGAGAAGAGGCAGAAAGUGGAGGACACUAUGGACGGAGAGGAAAAACCCUUCAAGUGCGUCAGCCCCCGAGGCUCUUCUUUGAAGAUUGGAGAGCGAGCGGAGUUCCUGAACAAGUCGGCACAGAAAAGCACUGUGAAGGCGUCCAUUUCCCCCAUGGUGUCCAAGAUAGACAACAGGCUGGAGCAGUACACCUCUGCUGCUCAGAGGGAGAACAGGGAGUCUCGAUCCCCUCGCUCCGGGGCGGUGGAUUUGCCCGUGGUUACCGACAGCAUACGAAACAUCAAGAGCAUGUGGGAGAAAGGCAACGUGUUCGGCUCGCCUGGAGGUGGAGGAAACACAUUCAAGGAAGCAGCUGUGAUGAAGACGGGCGUGGCCGGCCGCAUCAAUGAGUGGCUGAACAAAACCCCAGAGAGCGGGAAAACGUCAGGAGGAAGGCCAGCGGACCUUAAACCUGUUGAUGUCACCAACAAGAGAAAUCUAUGGGAAAACAAAGGAUCUUCUCCAGCCAAGAACUCAUAGCUAGUUGACGUUCACCAUUAAAUCUGGAAUAAGCCUGGAGAGGUGGCAGGCAGAGGGGAGACCAAAUCAGUCGCCAACGGGAUGGGACACUAAUGUCUUGAAGACGCCACUAAAGCAGGGGACCAUGACAAUCCGAGAUGCUUCCUUUGACUUUGUCUUAACAACCAAAAAAAAAAGAAAAAUGACCAAACUCCCUGGAGGGGGGGGCGACCCCAAGAAAACAGAAGGGCAGGAGAGCACCGAACUCGAACAACAUCACAGUUAUGUAUGGUUGCUACGCUGAGUGCCUUUGCACAUUUUAUUAUUAUUAUUAUUAUUAUAAUUAUUUUAAUUUUUUUAGCUUUCUAAAAGAAACAGAAUGCUGUGAAAUUUGGACAUUUGUAAUUACUGUUACUAAUGACUUUCUACGGUCCUGCCAGGAGAAAGGAAAACAAAUUAAAUUUAGAUUCAUCGCUCGUCUCCGAUGCCAAGAGUUUUGAUAGAGACGGCGUAGAUGAGAAAAACAUUCCGAAGAGAUGGUGAAAUCCGCUCUCUCCCUCGUACAGAUCAUUUUCCAUCUCGCUACUUCUUUUUUUUUUAUUUAUAUUUAAAGCAAAAGCUUCACACAUUUGCUAUUUUAUUCAACCCUCACCAAUUCAGGAUAGAAAUACACACACCUAGAAGUUAGCUGAUUUCACCUUUGUCAAGUCCUACCAUUAGUGCAGCAAUGGUCUGAGUAAUAUAUGUGACCUGUAUCUUAUAUAACACCUUUAUAGUCAAAACAAAAGGUAUUUUUGUGCUUUUUUUUUUGUAUUCACAAACUAUUCACCAACAGACGGAGUUGAUUAUCCAGGAGGCCAUUAUGAUUUUUAUUUUAUUAUCCUUUUUAUAUGUCAUUUAAUUUAUGUCUUUGUGUGUCGUGUUUCCUGCUACUCCGAGCUGGUUUUGUAGCUUUUGUACCUGUGUGAUCACUUUAAAAAUCUUCAGACAUUCCUCGUGCACAAGGUGCCUUCGCUGCUUUAAAGCUGUAGGUUUUAUAAUGUGGUGAUAUAAUGGCAAACCACCUUUUUUUUUAUAAAAACAAAAAAAUACUACCUUUAAAGGUACACUGUGUAGGAUUUAGUGGCUGAAGUAUGUGGUGUUUUUAUAUCCCUGACCUGUCGGACAGUUUUUUCCUCAAAGCAACAGGGUUUUAAUUAAAUAUUUUUUAAAUUGAUUUUGAAAAUCAAUUCAAGAACCCAUCAAUUAUGGGUUCUUGGCCGUCAUUGGAUUUUAAGGUUUGUACCAAAAACAAAACCUAAUAGAAAUAGAAAGCUAAGUGGUUUUGGUCGCUAGUAAAGCUAAUGUGUUCAAUAGGAACAUGACCUCCGUGUUUAGAAACGUCAAAGUACACGGACUAGAUGUUAGUCAUGUGACUAGACCAAAUAUUGCUGAUGUUUUUAGACUUUAAUACUCAACAGUAAAUUCAGGGUUUCCCCAACCACUGGCAUGGGGACCAGUAUUGGACCAUGAAUCAUUUGGUUUUGGGCCGAAGUUUUAGUUAGAUAUUUUUCAUGUACAUCAGUCUCCAUGGUGAUUUUUAUUUUGUUUAGGUUUUUUUUUUUUUAAAGUGAUCCCUUGCGUCGGCCACAUUUGACCCUAAAUUUUACACAGUGUACCUUUUAUCUCAUUAUUAUUUUGUUCUUUUUGUCUCUAUGCACACUUUAACGCUCGGCAUCACUUUCUAAUUUGGGAUAAAUGCAGUAAACAUUUAAAGUACAUGUUAUUGCAGUACAUGGAUAUUCACCACUACUAACUGUUAGUACUGUCUCUGGUCUUAUCAGUGCAGCUUCGACAGGAGCGGAGGUGAAGCUACGCAGUAGCCUCCGAGCAGCGGUAUCACAUCGAAGACUUUUUGUGUUUCAUUUUCCGCCCUCGUGGCGCAGCCUCUCACACUCGACAAAAAUUCGUAUGGUUUGCCAGAGCAUUAAAUUGGUCCAUGUCACUGCUCAAAGGUCUGACAAUCACAUUCCACGGCUCCUGAGAAGAGCAGAGGAGCUGGACCAAAAUAUUUGUAAGCGUGAUAUAAUGUGAUUUUUUUUUUUCGUUAUUAUUAUUUUUAUUUUACUACAGUGGUCUCAUAAUGAUGCUUUGUUUUUGUUUUUCCUCUGUCUGUUUUUUAUGUUUGUUUUUUUUAUUAUUAUUAUUUUACUUUCCAUGUUUAUCCAGACACUUGUUGUUGGUAUAGUGCUACGCCUAUGCAAAAAAACACACACACUCUCUCUCUCUCUCUCCCUCUCUCUCUCUCUCUCUCCCUCUCUCUCUCACUAGUUUCUGAACAUUCCUAAUGUCACACAUGUGGGCAAUUUCCAACUGGAUGGAUGUUUUAAACAUUGUACCAUUUUACAACAACAGCAAUAAAGACAUCGAGGUAA